CAGAAAAUAGUUUAAAUAAAAUUUUAAUUUUGGAGAUUAAGGAUAGAGUUUUCUUUUUCUGA
rnacentral:tRNA from 1 species